GGGUAUAGUAGAACCAUAGCUGCCAGUUAAUAAGGUUUUUUUUUUUCCUUUUUUUUUAACAAGCUGCUAAUUAUCAGUGUUGUUAAAAAAAAAAAAGAGAAAGAGACCACCAGUACUGGGUAUCCAACCAAGGCAGGGUGCUCUAAGUAGGGCCUGGAUGUCCCCAGCAAUGUCAUAUAGACAUUAGCAAUUAAAGGGAACAUUUUCUCAAGGUUAUCAAGGUUAUUAUGAAUAGCAGACAUAUGCUUCAA